CCAAUAGCGUAUAUUAAAGUUGUUGCAGUUGAAAAGCUCGUAGUUGAAUUUCGGGGUUAGUAGGUUGGUCAUGCCUCUGGUAUGUAAUGGUCUCACUGAUUCCUCCUUCCUGAUGAACCGUAAUGCCAUUUAUUUGGUGUUGCGGGGAAUUUGGACUGUUACUUUGAAAAAAUUAGAGUGUUUAAAGCAAGCUAACGCUUGAAUACAUUAGCAUGGAAUAAUGAAAUAGGACGUUCGAUCCUAUUUUGUUGGUUUCUAGGAUUGACGUAAUGAUUAAUAGGGAUAGCUGGGGGCAUUAGUAUUCAAUUGUCAGAGGUGAAAUUCUUGGAUUUAUUGAAGACUAACUACUGCGAAAGCAUUUGCCAAGGAUGUUUUCAUUAAUCAAGACCGAAAGUUAGGGGAUCGAAGACGAUCAGAUACCGUCGUAGUCUUAACCAUAAACUAUGCCGACUAGGGAUCGGAUGAUGUUAAUUUUUUAAUGACUCAUUCGGCGCCUUACG
rnacentral:rRNA from 1 species